AUGCCCUGAGGGGAUGCCUUGAGGGCAGGUGCGUUGCAGGGGGCCAUGUGCCCUGGGUGAGUUGGGAGAAGCUGAGUGUAGGAGCAGGAAGCAGGUUGUUGUCCCUAAGUCUGAAGCAUUUUGCAGCAGACACGUAACUGAGCAGUGGGUUAAUCCGUCGGCGGGCUGGCUGGCAGAGAUGUCAGCAGGGGUAGAGUCUCCCUGGAUUCCAGCAGAAGAGCCCUGCAAGCAAGGGGAGGGAAGGUGUUUUUAGAUCAGCAGAUUGUCUAGAUUUGGUGAUCAAAGACUCGAACGGAGACUUAGGUGAACUAACCCUACGCUUCUGGGAACCUUCUGUUUCUUCUCACGGUGUUUCUGUGUGGACUGAAAUGUUCAGACUUUAAUUUGUUUCCUUUAUUUAUGUUUCUGUAUAACUGUGAAGAUAAU